UUGUAACCCCCCAGAGUCGUAAAGAUUCUCCCUUUUUUGCCAUAGCAUGAGAACCAAGGUGUCACCCUCGUCUUUUUCCUCUCUCCGAUCGCAGGAGUAAACCCUACGGUCGAGAGGGGGAAGGAGGAGGAGGGGAGAGAUAGGGAUGUUAUUGGAGGAGCGGAGUGCGCAAUUCCCUGUUUGAGCGAAGAGGGAAGGGCGCUUAGGGUUUCUGUGGUGGUCAAAUUAGGGUUUAGAGAUGGAACCUGCCCUUUUGGAUGAUGUGAUACAGAGGCUCUUGGGGGUGAGAGGGACGAAGCCGGGGAAGCAGGUGGUGCUGACGGAGGCGGAGAUCAAUAAGCUCUGCGUCGCGGCGAAGGGCAUCUUCCUCCAGCAGACCAAUUUGCUCGAGCUCGAGGCGCCGAUCAAGAUUUGUGGUGAUGUUCAUGGCCAGUACUCUGAUCUUCUCAGGCUGUUUGAAUAUGGCGGACUCCCUCCACAAUCUAACUACCUUUUCUUAGGUGAUUACGUGGAUCGAGGAAAGCAAAGCCUUGAGACAAUAUGCCUUCUGUUGGCAUAUAAAGUCAAAUACCCUGAAAACUUCUUUCUCUUGAGGGGGAACCAUGAGUGUGCGUCCAUUAACCGGAUUUAUGGGUUUUAUGAUGAAUGCAAGCGCAGAUACAGUGUUAAGCUCUGGAAGGUCUUCUCCGAUUGUUUCAACUGCCUACCUGUGGCUGCUUUAAUAGAUGAGAAGAUAUUAUGCAUGCAUGGCGGGCUUUCUCCUGACUUGCAUGAUUUGGACCAAAUACGUAAUUUAGCCCGCCCAACUGAUGUGCCUGAUACUGGUUUGUUAUGUGAUCUUCUGUGGUCAGAUCCUUGUAAAGAAAUUCAAGGAUGGGGAAUGAACGAUAGAGGUGUAUCUUAUACCUUUGGGGCGGAUAAAGUCGCUGAGUUCCUUGAGAAGCACAAUCUAGACCUAAUUUGCCGUGCUCAUCAGGUGGUGGAAGAUGGAUAUGAGUUCUUUGCUGAUAGGCAGCUGGUUACGAUAUUCUCAGCGCCUAAUUACUGCGGUGAAUUCGAUAAUGCUGGUGCUAUGAUGAGCGUAGAUGGCACCCUUAUGUGCUCCUUCCAAAUAUUGAAGCCUGCAGGAAAAACGUUCUUCGGAGGCACACCUUCAGCUAAAGGUGGAACACCUGCCGUCAGUAUGAAGUUCCUUAUAUGCUCUGUUUGUGACCAUUUGAGAACCCAGCUUUUCGACGUGGAAGGAUGCUUUGAUUGAGAGGGCUCCACUGUCACUUAUGUGAGAGCUCUCUGAAGUCGGAGAAUCUAUUCGGCUCGAGAUUCCAAUGACUCUUGCGAACUCUCGAAUAAAGGGGUACGAGAUUUACACCUUUUUGGGCGUACAAGUAGCAUUUUUUUGUAUGGACGCUGAGACGUCAUUCUCAUGCCAUCGAAAGAUUAGAUACCCUAUGGUUAUGGCCACUAAUCUAUCAACUUUGACCACCAAUUAACAAGCAUAGACGGUGGGAAAUGGCCGUCACAAAAAUUCCAGUUACCCUGUACUUUACCUCUUUGAGAGGGGCAAGGAGGAGAGAAGAGGGGGUAAAGAGGGAAAAGCCGUGGCUUCUCGGAGCAGCUGCUUCUCCCAAAACGCGUUCUAGGGCCAGGAAUGAAAGUCAGGCCAAAUAGACAAAUUAUUAAAGCUAGCACAUCAGCAGCGUCGGGGAAGCUCGACCGCAAUCGUCAGAUCCUCCAGGUUUCUGUACUUUGCGCAGAGCCGCAAUCGUCAGAUCCUUCAGGUUUCUGUACUUUGCGCAGAGCCCCAAUCCAGCGGCGAAGGCCCACCACGGCUACACGCCGGGUAUCGGCGUGCAGAACUCGCUGUUCGAAGCAGAAGUCGCUCAAGAUGUCUGGCGAGAACCAGCCCAGUGGUGACGCUGGUGACGCCGUCUCUGUCGCCGGGUACAAGAGGACCUUCCCCGUUUAAUUUGUUCACUAUGUGUACACACAUAUGCGGAGUACUACUUACAAUACUCUUUCUCCCUAAGAACUUUUGAACUCUUAUCGAUUAAGGUAUGCAGAAAUUAUGUUGAGAGGGCCUUUAUUCGGCGAGAACAGUAUGAACGGUGAAUUAAACCGUCUCACGUAAA